AGUGAACGCUGGCGGUAGGCCUAACACAUGCAAGUCGAACGGCAGCACAGUAAGAGCUUGCUCUUACGGGUGGCGAGUGGCGGACGGGUGAGGAAUACAUCGGAAUCUACUUUUUCGUGGGGGAUAACGUAGGGAAACUUAUGCUAAUACCGCAUACGACCUACGGGUGGAAGCAGGGGAUCUUCGGACCUUGCGCGAUUGAAUGAGCCGAUGUCGGAUUGGCUAGUUGGCGGGGUAAAGGCCCACCAAGGCGACGAUCCGUAGCCGCCCUGAGAGGAUGGCCGGCGACAGUGGAACUGAGACACGGUCCAGACCCCCCCGGGAGGCCCCAGGCGGGAAUGUUGCGGAAUGCGCGGAAGCUUUACGGAGCAUCGCUGCGGGAAUAAUGAAGGUCUUCUGAUCGCAAGACUCUGUUACUAGGGAAGAACAAAAGUCUCAGUAACUAUGCACGUCUGGACGGUACCGAAUAAGAGAGCCACGGCUAGCUACGUG
rnacentral:rRNA from 1 species